UACGUAGGGUGCGAGCGUUGCCCGGAUUUAUUGGGCGUAAAGGGCGCGUAGGCGGCCACGCACGUCCGUUGUGAAAUCGCCCGGCUCAACUGGGCGGGGUCGGCGGAUACGGCGUGGCUGGAGCAAGCUAGGGGGCAAUGGAAUUCCCGGUGUAGUGGUGGAAUGCGUAGAUAUCGGGAGGAACACCAAUGGCGAAGGCAGCUCGCUGGGACGUGACUGACGC
rnacentral:rRNA from 1 species